rnacentral:rRNA from 1 species
GACGAACGCUGGCGGCGUGCUUAACACAUGCAAGUCGAACGGAAAGGCCCUUUUGGGGUUCCUCGAGUGGCGAACGGGUGAGUAACACGUGAGUAACCUGCCCUUGACUUCGGUAUAACUUCAGGAAACUGGGGCUAAUACCGGAUAGGAAUCCUUGCUGCAUGGUGGGGGUUGGAAAGCUUCGGCGGCUUUGGAUGGAUUCGCGGCGUAUUAGCUUGUUGGUGGGGUAGUGGCUUACCAGGGCGCUGAUGGGUAGCCGGGGUGAGAGGGGGACCGGCCACACUGGGGGUGAGAGGCGGUACAGGGACUGAGGGAAGGCCCAGGCGGCGACGGGUGGCAGAAGGGGGGAAGACUGAUCCAGGCGCGGAGGGCGGGUGCAGCAACGCUGCGGGUGGGAUGACGGCUUUGGGGUUGAAAAACGCCUUCAGCAGGGGCGAAGCUUGUGGUGACGGUACCUGCAGAAGAAGCACCGGCUAACUACGUG